rnacentral:lncRNA from 10 species
GUCAUUCAGAGUCCACAGGAUGGAUGAAUGGAUAUGAAAAUGAACAAACGUGUGACACAACACUGCAUGAUUUACCGGCAAUGACUUUCUGAUCAAGCCUGAACAUCCCAAGACAACCAUGCUGUGAAGAAGUCGGUCUACCCCACUGGAGAAGGAAAGGCUGUUCAGGGAAGUGAAGAUGCCCCAGCUGACAGUCACCACCUGCCAGACAUGUGAGCAAGGCUGUCUGAGACCUUCAGUCUCAGUCAAGCCAUCAGAAAGUUGCAGCCAGUUGAGUGAUCCCAAGUGAGACCAGCAGCGAUAAUGCCCAGUUUGCCAAAACAGAAUUGUGAGAAAUAAUAAAUCAUUGUUGUUUUAAGCCAGGUGUGGGCAGACAUUUUCUUAAAGGACCAGACAGUGUUUUAGGCUUGUGGGUCAUAUCAUCUCUGGCACAGGUACUCAACUCUACCCUGUAACACAGAGCAGACACAGACCAUGUGUAAAUGCAUGAGUGUCACUGUGUGGCUAUAAAUCUUUACUUAUAAAAACUGACUGUUGGCCCAUGGGCUGUAGUUUGCUGCUGACCCCUGUUUUAAGUCACUAAGUUUUGGGAUGGUUUGUCACAUAACAAAAGGUAACCAAAACAGUCUCAAGGAAAGAACCAAGCUGCUAGCAAACUAUCUCUACCGAUAAUUUUUCAGGUUA